GCCAGCCCGGGGACCGCGGCCCCCUGCCCGCUCUCCCCCCACCCCCGCCCCGAGGCGCACGGCAGCGGAUCGGGGGUCCCGAACCCUCAGGGCCGCUCCGCGGGACCCCCGGACAGAGACGCUGCGGGAUCCCCGGGUCCCACCCCGGCAGCCUUCGCGGGGAGCAGCGAGACGCCCAGCCCGGCCGCCCCCAUCCCGCUGCCCGCAGUGCCCCGGGGGUGCGGGGGUCCGGCAGCCGCAUCCCCGCGGGCAGCGGAUCGGAUGUCUGCGAGCGGCCGAGUUUAUUUCAAGCACAACAUUCCAGGCUGCUGCUGGCCUCGGGUGCACUUCCCAGCAGAGCUGCAGGGGAGAACAAACGCCCUCGGUUUACUCGUUUGGGAACUACCGGGGGUGAACCCCUCCCGGCGGAAGGCUCCGAGGGGCAGCCCCGCUCCCGGGGGGUUCGGUGCCCCCUUCCCGGGACGGGACGCCCCCCCCACGCUGGGGACGGGCAGUGCCCGAGAGCCGAGGGGACAAACUCGAGAUCCCCUCCCGGCUGGGCUCGGGGACAACGCCGCGUUUUCCUUUAGAUGCCGUCCACGUCAACCCGACAACAAUCCGGGCUCUGUCCGUAGAUUUGAUUUUAAAUGGUUCGCUUCGCCCCGGAGGAGCCGCUGCCCGUGCCGCCCGUGCCAGCCGGGAAUAAACACGCGGAGCGCUUCUGGGAAGCCCGGCUGCGGUGGAGCCGCUGCUCCGAAUCGCGAACGCUCCCUGGAGCGCUGCCUGCGGCGGGCGGGGCGCGGGGGGGGGCGGGGCCGCCCGGCUCCAUCUCCCCGCCCCUUCCCCCCCUCCAGGGCCGCGGAGCCGCUCCCGCGCAGCCCCGUGAGGGGGGCAGAACUGGCGGUGCGCUCCGGCCGUGCAGCGAAUCCCCGCACGAGGGCGGGGCGGUCGCGGGGUCGUCGGAACUCCGGGCCGCCCGCUGGGUUCCGCGGCCCGGCCCGCGCGGCACGACCCCGCUCGCAGCACGGCGCUCC
rnacentral:lncRNA from 1 species